GUGAACGCUGGCGGUAGGCCUAACACAUGCAAGUCGAACGGCAGCACAGUAAGAGCUUGCUCUUACGGGUGGCGAGUGGCGGACGGGUGAGGAAUACAUCGGAAUCUACUUUUUCGUGGGGGAUAACGUAGGGAAACUUACGCUAAUACCGCAUACGUCCUACGGGUGAAAGCAGGGGAUCUUCGGACCUUGCGCGAUUGAAUGAGCCGAUGUCGGAUUAGCUAGUUGGCGGGGUAAAGGCCCACCAAGGCGACGAUCCGUAGCUGGUCUGAGAGGAUGAUCAGCCACACUGGAACUGAGACACGGUCCAGACUCCUACGGGAGGCAGCAGUGGGGAAUAUUGGACAAUGGGCGCAAGCCUGAUCCAGCCAUACCGCGUGGGUGAAGAAGGCCUUCGGGUUGUAAAGCCCUUUUGUUGGGAAAGAAAAGAAGCAGGUUAAUACCCCGCUGUUCUGACGGUACCCAAAGAAUAAGCACCGGCUAACUUCGUG
rnacentral:rRNA from 1 species